UACGUAGGGUGCGAGCGUUAUUCGGAAUUACUGGGCGUAAAGUGUGCGCAGGUGGCCGCGCAAGUCGAGUGUGAAAUCCCCGGGCUUAACUUGGGAAUUGCGCUCGAGACUACGUGGCUCGAGUAUGGCAGAGGAAGGUGGAAUUCCACGUGUAGCGGUGAAAUGCGUAGAGAUGUGGAGGAACACCGAUGGCGAAGGCAGCCUUCUGGGCCAAUACUGACGCUCAUGCACGAAAGCGUGGGGAGCAAACAGG
rnacentral:rRNA from 1 species